rnacentral:snoRNA from 1 species
CCUGCGGACUGAAAGGUCCCAGGUUCGAUUCCGGUCAAGGGCAUGUACCUUGGAUGCCUGCCCCGUGAUGUACAGUCCCUUUCCACAACGUUGGAGAGAAAGCCAGGCCUUGAGUCUGCGCCUGCAUAUUCCUACAACUUCUCAGAGUCCUGUGGACGAUGACUGAGGAGAUAAACCAUGCAGGAAACAUCU